CAGUAGCCGCGGUAAUACGUAGGUCCCGAGCGUUGUCCGGAUUUAUUGGGCGUAAAGCGAGCGCAGGCGGUUAGAUAAGUCUGAAGUUAAAGGCUGUGGCUUAACCAUAGUACGCUUUGGAAACUGUUUAACUUGAGUGCAAGAGGGGAGAGUGGAAUUCCAUGUGUAGCGGUGAAAUGCGUAGAUAUAUGGAGGAACACCGGUGGCGAAAGCGGCUCUCUGGCUUGUAACUGACGCUGAGGCUCGAAAGCGUGGGGAGCAAACAGGAUUAGAGACCCCUGUAGUCCCUGUCUCUUAUACC
rnacentral:rRNA from 1 species